rnacentral:rRNA from 1 species
UACGGGGGGAGCAAGCGUUGUUCGGAUUUACUGGGCGUAAAGGGCGCGUAGGCGGUCAGCACAAGUCAGUUGUGAAAUCUCCGGGCUUAACUCGGAAAGGUCAACUGAUACUGUGCGACUAGAGUGCGGAAGGGGCAACUGGAAUUCUCGGUGUAGCGGUGAAAUGCGUAGAUAUCGAGAGGAACACCAGUGGCGAAGGCGGCUCACUGGCCCGGUACUGACGCUGAGGUGCGAAAGCGUGGGGAGCAAACAGG